GAGGCAGCAGUAGGGAAUCUUCCGCAAUGGACGAAAGUCUGACGGAGCAACGCCGCGUGAGUGAUGAAGGCCUUCGGGUCGUAAAACUCUGUUGUUAGGGAAGAACAAGUAUCGGAGUAACUGCCGGUACCUUGACGGUACCUAACCAGAAAGCCACGGCUAACUACGUGCCAGCAGCCGCGGUAAU
rnacentral:rRNA from 1 species